GACGAACGCUGGCGGCGUGCCUAACACAUGCAAGUCGAACGGAGUUAAGUGCUUCGGUAUUUAACUUAGUGGCGAACGGGUGAGUAACGCGUGAGGAACCUGCCUUUCAGUGGGGGACAACAGUUGGAAACGACUGCUAAUACCGCAUGAUGCAGCGAGGGGGCAUCCCUUUGCUGCCAAAGCUUAANGUGCUGAAAGAUGGUCUCGCGUCUGAUUAGCUAGAUGGCGGGGUAACGGCCCACCAUGGCGACGAUCAGUAGCCGGUCUGAGAGGGUGAAACGGCACAUUGGGACUGAGACAC
rnacentral:rRNA from 1 species